AAUUGUGGCCAUACCAUCCAUGCCACCCUGAAUGCAUGCAAGAACAGACGACACUGUCCGACCUGGGAAGGUUAGCAGGUUUGGUUAGUACUUGGAUGGGAGACCGCCUGGGAAUACCAGGUGCUGUAGGUU
rnacentral:rRNA from 1 species